rnacentral:rRNA from 1 species
AAAGGCCUAUAUUUUAUCUUUUAAAAGACCUAGUAAUAGGUAUGCUUUAGGAGGGGCUUGCGCCAUAUUAGUUAGUUGGUAGGGUAAUGGCCUACCAAGACGAUGAUGUGUAGCUGGACUGAGAGGUUGAACAGCCACAUUGGGACUGAGACACGGCCCAAACUCCUACGGGAGGCAGCAGUAGGGAAUUUUCGGCAAUGGAGGAAACUCUGACCGAGCAACGCCGCGUGAAUGACGAAGUACUUCGGUAUGUAAAGUUCUUUUAUCAAGGAAGAAAAGCAAAUGGCGAACCAUUUGUUUGCCGGUACUUGAUGAAUAAGCCCCGGCUAAUUAUGUGCCAGCAGCCGCGGUAAGACAUAAGGGGCAAGUGUUAUCCGGAAUUAUUGGGCGUAAAGGGUGCGUAGGCGGUCUAGUAAGUCAGUGGUGUAAUGGCAACGCUUAACGUUGUCCGGCUAUUGAAACUGCUAAACUUGAGUUAGAUAGAGGCGAGUGGAAUUCCAUGUGUAGCGGUAAAAUGCGUAAAUAUAUGGAGGAACACCAGAGGCGUAGGCGGCUCGCUGGGUCUUAACUGACGCUGAGGCACGAAAGCGUGGGGAGCAAACAGGAUUAGAUACCCUGGUAGUCCACGCCGUAAACGAUGAGUACUAAGUGUCGGGUUAAACCGGUACUGAAGUUAACACAUUAAGUACUCCGCCUGAGUAGUACGUACGCAAGUAUGAAACUUAAAGGAAUUGACGGGACUCCGCACAAGCGGUGGAUCAUGUUGUUUAAUUCGAAGAUACCCGAAAAACCUUACCAGGUCUUGACAUGUUUUUGCAAAAUGAUAGUAAUAUCGUGGAGGUUACCAGAAACACAGGUGGUGCAUGGUUGUCGUCAGCUCGUGUCGUGAGAUGUUAGGUUAAGUCCUAAAACGAGCGAAACCCUUAUCGUUAGUUGCCAGCACGUUAUGGUGGGGACUUUAACGAGACUGCCAAUGAUAAAUUGGAGGAAGGUGAGGAUCACGUCAAAUCAGCAUGCCCCUUAUGACCUGGGCUACAAACGUGAUACAAUGGCUGUUACAAAGGGUAGCUGAAACGCAAGUUCUUGGCCAAUCCCCAAAAACAGUCCCAGUCCGGAUUGAAGUCUGCAACUCGACUUCAUGAAGUUGGAAUCGCUAGUAAUCGCGAAUCAGCAUGU